rnacentral:rRNA from 1 species
UGGGGGAUAUUGCACAAUGGAGGAAACUCUGAUGCAGCAACGCCGCGUGAAGGAUGAAGGUCUUCGGAUUGUAAACUUUUGUACUUGGGGACGAUAAUGACGGUACCCAAGCAGCAAGCUCCGGCUAACUACGUGCCAGCAGCCGCGGUAAUACGUAGGGAGCAAGCGUUGUCCGGAUUUACUGGGUGUAAAGGGUGCGUAGGCGGCUAUGCAAGUCAGUUGUGAAAACUAUGGGCUCAACCCAUAGCCUGCAAUUGAAACUGCGUGGCUUGAGUGAAGUAGAGGUAGGUGGAAUUCCCGGUGUAGCGGUGAAAUGCGUAGAGAUCGGGAGGAACACCAGUGGCGAAGGCGACCUACUGGGCUUUAACUGACGCUGAGGCACGAAAGCAUGGGUAGCAAACAGGAUUAGAUACCCUGUAGUCCAUGCC